rnacentral:lncRNA from 1 species
AUGAAAACAAGCUUGUUUUUCAGGCACAGUUGGGAAAGUAGAAAAAUGAAAAAAAACUCUCUGACUUAGGAGAAAGGAAAAGAAAGAGAGAAAGAAAGGAAGGAAGGAAGGAAGGAAGGAAGGAAGGAAGGAAGCCCUAAGGAAGGAAGGAAGAAAGAAAAAGAAAGAAAGAAAGAAAGAAAGAAAGAAAGAAAGAAAGAAAGAAAGAAAGAAAGAAAGAAAGAAAGAAAGAAAGAAAGAAAGAAAGAAAGAAAGAAAGAAAAUGGGCGUUUAGUGGACCACAAACUCAAUAUGAAUCAACAGUGUGAUAUUCAGGCAGCUAAAGAAGUUCACAGGAAAAAGAAUAAGCAUUUCUAUUGGGCCGGUCGCAUGCUAGACACUGUGCUAGG